rnacentral:rRNA from 1 species
UGUUGGUGCUUUGUCGGAGGGGGUACACCCGUUCUCAUUCCGAACACGGCAGUUAAGCCCUCCAGAAGCGAUGGUAGUCGUAAGGCGAGAGUAGCUCGGCGCCAACAC